AAGACUAGUAAUCGAAACGGUGUACGUUCAGACGUGAAUUAUUCAUGAACAUCUCUGGACCCUUGAGCAUGACAGCGAACCUCAUCCUACCAAAAUUACUGUGGUAACGAAAGUUUUCGCCAAACUAUUACAGUUACAACUAGAUAGUUUUAACUAUGAGAACUUGCCACUGCAGCCAUCAAAAAAAUCAAAUCACAGAAAGAUUCUGAAAGCGUGGCCACGGUUUCCAUGGUAAUUUUUGUGAGGAGAAGUAGCGUAACACCAGGUGGGACAGUCCGUCACACAGGGACCCGGUGAGACUGCUGCGUCUGACAGUGGCUGUAGUCCACACAGUUCAACACGAUCAGCGCGAAUGAGAACAGACGAAACUGCAUCUGGGCGGCUGUAAGAUUGUCCCGACUCACGGUAGAAAGCGUCAAAGAGGAGCGGGGAGUUGAGGAGUCCGGACUCAGUUGUGUUACACAUUAGCGAGG